AGCCCCGUAGUGUAGCGGUCAAUCAUCUCGCCCUCUGGNNGACCUCGGUUCGAAUCCGGGCGGGGCUA
rnacentral:tRNA from 1 species